GAGACGCCGAAAGAAGCCUGUUUGUGUGCUGCGGCCGUGCUGUGACUUUGGAUCUUGUCUUUCAGCCGGCGCCUCGGUUCCUGCCCAGCUGGAUUUGGGGGGCAGCAUUGCCUGGCGCAGGGAGAUCAAAUGAGACUGCAAAGAAGCAUAAAAUGAAUAGACAAUCCAACCAACCAAAGACCGGGGGCAGCAGCAGGCCAGCAAGACGGCAUCUUCUCCUUCCCAGCCUAGAAGCCCUGUGAAAUCGAGGAUCUUCCCCCUAAAACACAUACACACAAGAUAUGUGCAAUCAAGCUGCCACCGCUUGGUAAAAAGCCAUGGUGCCUAACCAAAAAGGAUCAGGAACAGAUCCUUGAAUCAGCUGUCACUUCUAUAGAAUGGGAUUUUUUUUUCCUUCCUCCUUAACCUGCGCUGGAAAUUGCCGUUGGCUUUAUACAUCUCUAUAGAGAGAGGCUAAAGAGUCUUGCGUGAGAAAGAAGCAAUUUACAAUGCAAAUAGAGGCCUGUGAAGGGACGGAUGCUGCUGCUCACUCGUAACAGCUUGCUGCACCUUAAUAGCUGGUUUUAUUUUCUGAUAUUAAUAGAUGAAUUGUUGGCUAACGCUGCCGGAGAUUACUUGCUGAAAGGAAAAAGAAAAGUUCGGAAUAAACUCUGAAGGCAACAGAUCUCGUUUGGAUGUUUUAGCCGCGCACACACACAAACAGAAACCAGGUCAUAUUUACAUAAAAGGAGGAAUCUUAAGCGCGGCAAGUAUCCUGGACGACCACUCUUCGGUACUGCCAGAAAGGAUCAGGACCUGGAGUCUGGCAAGAGGAAGACAGAGGCCUGUGUGGGAAGCGAGUUGUUAUCUUUGGUUAUCUAGCUGUAUGAGUGUAUUGGUCUUCAUAAAGCUAGAUAACCGAAAGUAAAAACUCCUUCAAGAUCGCCGGGGAGCGUGUGAGAAUGAAAGACUACAGCCGAGAGACAGUAAAAACCAGAAAGAUGCUUCUCUGUUCCAAGAGGGUUUCCUUGAGGAAGCUACUGAAGCAGAAAGACAUGAUGGAGACGAGAUCGCCUCCCCUCUUGUCAAAGUGUUAAAAAAAUGUUCUGUCUUACUCUGCGCCUAGCAUUGGAAAUGAAAGUGACAUUUACGCCACAACCCACGUGUGCGCCUCCUCUCUUUUUGUUUAAGGAUGAUCAGGUCUAUCCAGGAAACAGCUCUGGCAUCCCAAACUGAAAUAAUUAGGACGUAUAUAGACCUGACAAAAAUGGAAAGGGGGUGGGGAAUCUGAGGGUCUGUCUUGCCUAAUUGAUUCCGCUAAACGGAAUGCAGGAGAUGUGAACGGCAGGACGCUCCGAUUCCCACGCUCGGGGGCAAGUGAUAAAGCGGGGCCGGGCAGCCUAUGACAGACAGCCCUGUUGGGGGGUGGGGGUAUGAAAAAAACAUCAAGUGCACACACCAUACUCAUCUCCAUCGCUUAAGAAAGUAAAGGCAUUUCCCACCCACAGCCAUCUGCAGCUUCCCAAAUGGCAGCACCAACUGGUCUGUAGCUGCUACAUAGUCUGCUUCUGUUAAUUUUUUAACCACUGUUUAAUCUGGCCAUAAUUAAGUUUGGCUUUCUUCGUUGUUUGAGAUUUUCAGAAUUCAAGGCAAGCUAGUAGAAAGCAAUUCCAAGAAAGUCCCAUGACUGCCUGCCCCUAAUGUCAAAAUCUCAGUCCAUGAGAUUAUGGCCUUG
rnacentral:lncRNA from 1 species